AUGAUGAAUUUUGACAAGGAUUCUCAGCUGGGGAUCAGGAAGGUUAGAAGUUCAGAUGGACCUUGGGGACAACUGGAUUGGGGACUUGAGAUCUGCCAGGAGAUUUCUGUCUCCAUCUCUUAUCUGCCACUGUACAAUUCAUUCUCUUAUAAGGUUUUUUGUUUUGUCGUUGUUGUUGCAGAGUUCAACGUGGCCACUUUCAGGUGCCAGGACUCACAUCUUCACCUCCAAGAUGGUCUUCAGUCUUCUCUUAGUUCCAGCUUGAAAAGUUCUGGUUAGUCUGUUUUGGCUAAGAUGGCCACUCCUGGACAAAUCAACCAUGACCAGAAAGACAAAUUACCAUGACUGGCCAACUUGAAACAAAAAACUUCCAGGAUCCAAAUUCAGGGACCCAGCCCUGUACCAGUGGCUGGAAGUCUACCAAACAGUAACUAAUGGUAAAAGUCAGGGUCAGUAGUUCAGACAUGGCCACAGAGGACAACUCUGUGAGAAAAAGGGACAUCACUGGAAGUUGGACAGUCACUCCAAUCACAGGGGGUGAAGAAGAGAUGCUAUAAAUGUCUCCAGGUUUGGUCUUUUUUUUAAAUCUAAACUGGAGUUACAUUUGUCCAGAAAACACAGAGACUGGAUGCUGUUUCCACCCAAUAUCACACUAGGCCACACUCUGUUCAGAGGGCCUAAGAACUCUUGGAAACUUGUCUGAUUCUGUUAGUCAAUGGAGGCUCAAUACUCAUGUGAGGAGGACAAAGAGAGAGGGGACAAAAACCUGCCAAUACUUCUCCAAGGAGUCUGGCUUUGUGAUAGAGAUGCUAUCAUCCUUUCUCCUCUCCCUCCUAAGCAUCUCAAGUCACAGUUCAAACCACCAGGCUUUGUACUAACACAUUUCCAUAACAGCAAAUUACUAACUCUCCCUUUUUCCCCUCCUGCAUCACUUUCACAUGAUAUAGAAGGGGUGGCAAAUGUCAAUAUAUUUUCACACCAGGAAUAGGACUUGUAUGAAUAAGAAAAAUGUGCCUCAUUAACCACUACAAACACCAGAAAAAAUAUAUAUAUACAUGAAGAAGUUGAUCUUUUUACUCCAGAGAUACAAAUUACAUUUAAUUCCUCUAAGAAACAGUAAAGCAAGUGCAAUUCAUUUAAAAAUACAACUAAUUAUGGGUGAAGUCCUUUGUUACUAUAAUGAUUUUUCUUUAAUCAUAGAGUAACUUUAAUAAAGACUUUGUGUUUCAGGUACAGAAUAUCCCAAAAGACCUUAGUCAAUCCAAAGUUGUGUGGAGAAUUUCCAUUUUAAUUAAAGGUGAAAAAUCUGAAUUUUUUUUUAAAUAAGGAGAACUCCUAAAAAUACCAACAUAGAAUAAGUAACCUUAGCAAAAAGAGUUACACUUGAUAAGCCAUAAAUCCUAGGGGAAAACACUAGGAAAAAAAAAUAAGAGGAAAGGUCUUUUUGGGUUUAUAAUAUAAUUACUCCUUUUGCCCUAUUGAUAUGCUUGUGUGGACCUACACUGGCCAAUUGCUUCAGUCACGAGGUGCUUUGUUGGGAGUGAAAUCUCUUCACUGACUUCUGGGUUUAUAUAAAACAUCUGAUCACUGAAAGAAGCAGGGUAGGUGUAAAAUCAAGUUCAUCCUAAACUGAUAAAUAACAACUGAGUUGGGAACUUUAUAAUGUUCAAGAGUAUUCACUUGGUAACUCCAGUGGGUUUAAUGGUCCCAUCCCGCCCCAUGAUAUGUCCACAUCCUAAUUCCCAAAACCUAUGAAUGUGACCUUAUUUGGAAAAAAGGGCUUCGAAGAUAUAAUUAAUUUAAGGAUCUCAAGAUGAGAAGGUUGUCCUGGAUUACUCAGGGAGCCCUAAAUCCAAUGACAUGUAUAUCUUUAUAAGAGACUUAGAGGAAACACAGCAGAGAAGGCAGUAUGACCAUGGAGACAGAGGUGGAGGGGUGUGACCCCAUGCCAAGGAAUGCACACUAUCUUUUUUUUUUUUUUUUUUUAGGGCUGCACCUGCGGCAUAUGGAGGUUCCCAGGCUAGGGGUCAAAUUGGGGCUACAGUUGCCGGCCUAUGCCACAGCCACAGCAAUGCCAGGUCCAAACCACAUCCGAGAUCUAUACCACAGCUUAUGGCAAUGCUGGAUCCCUUAACCCACUGAGCAAGGCCUGGGAUCGAACCCGCAACCUCAAAGUUCCUAGGUGGAUUUGUUUCUGCUGUGUCAUAACAGGAACUCCGACACUAUCUUUGAUGGAAGAAAAAAAAAAUAAUGCUAGCAAUCAGAACUGGAAAUAGAGAGUAAUUUACUUAGCCAACUAAUGAAUUCUCCCUGCUUAAAAAGAUUCAAGCAGAAGAGAGGAUUAUGGCUGCUGUAGAAUAAAUUCUUGCGUUGGGCGGCAAGUUGAACUAACAUAACCUUAGGUACCCUCCCAACUUUAAGAUUCUCUCAUUCUAUAAUUCAACAUGGCCUAGGGAUGCUUGCUUAGUGUCAUCAUAUCCAACCUCUCCCAUUACUUGGGGCAACCAGCCCAAAUAUGACAUCAGCUGAGAAGAUUUGAAGGAAGGGGAAAUAGAACUGGAGAAUUUAUGAGAACUAUACCAAAGCACCAAGCCAAAAUCUGAUUACUACAUCAAUGUGUCAGUCUUGAGAUAGCCAGCUUCCAACAAGUAGGAAGUUAAAAAAUAAUCUUCAGAUAAAGAGAACCAAUGAAAUUGACCAAAUAACAGGUUAACAUGAAACUUAGAGAAACUGAAAAAAAAAAAUCUUGAAAUAGGCCAUAGCGUUUUGGCAGAUGAAUGGGAAGGGCAGCCAAGAGUCUCAGAAUGGUACAGUCAGGGAAUGACUAAAGCAUAAGCCAGAACCUUGGCGGCUGCCACAGUCAAAUAUCUCUGAAUUGUGCAGAGGUUAAAGAAAUGGAAAGAUUUCAUGAAUGCAGCAAUUAAAGCUGAGAACAGAUCAACCCAAAUCUGGGUGGUGAGGGGUGUGAGCAAACUCAACUCCCGCCAGAAAAUAGGAAGAUGCUGACUGCCAGGAUAUCUCUAUCAAAACCCCAAAGACUAAACCAUAGAAGCUAAGCCAAUAGCCUAGCAAUCAUCAGCAGAAGCCAUUGGUGGUGGAGUAUUAUAACCCAAUUCCACUGUUCAAACUACUGGGAGAGGAAAUGUCUACUAUGUCAUUCGAAAAAAGACAAAGGAAAGUAACUAUUGUGGGGACUUUAAAAGUGGAACCCUUCAAAUGGAAAUAGAGUGAUCUCCAAGUAUGUAAUGAAUGAAACGUGGCACGGAUUUGCCUUCCCUUGGCUCCUUUGGAAGGUGCUUUGCUCAUUCUUUGGAGCCCAAAUUCCCUUUCAUAUGACUGUGUAGUCGGUCUCCAAUUUUGACCAUGGUAUGAUUACACAGAAAGAGCCCAGCAUGUUUAGGAGUUAUGUAAACUUUGGAGUUGGCCUAAUACCGAAGAAGACUAAAGAGGUCUAAAGAAUGUUCUUGCAGCUGAGACAUAGGGAGUCUCAGGAUCCAUCUGGGGGUUUUCCAGUGUUAAAAAUCUUUUGCUUUGUGUAGCAAGAUGCUGAGGGAACUAAAGACAAUAAGAUCACCAGGUGGGACCUGCCCAGCAUGGACAGACAUCUCCAAACUGCGGCAGAGGUCACGUUUUCAUCUUUGUGGAGACCGUCUCCACUCAUGUUGGCCCCAUUGCUUACCUUGAAGUGUAAAUGAUUAAAAUGACGAGAAGGGAGCCAAUCUGAGGAGAAAAUUAUGAGAAGACAUCUAAAUAUGGAGAGGAGGCUUAACCUGUUAACAGUGUUUUGAGAGUUUACACCUUUAACUUUAGCUUGCAACGUCACGUGGUCUCCUGCAACGAUGCCCGUGAUGUAAGUCAUAGAUAUUGUGUCCUUGCAGGUCACACGGAACAAUGCGACCAUCAUGGAGUCAACUGAACCUUCUAAGAUUCCCUAGCCAGGCUCUCUCCACCUUAUCUCUCAUGUCUGGAAAGCUGUGACUCCUAAGGGGAGGGUCCUCAGUAAUAUUAAUAAAAGACCCACAACAAGAGAGACCAAAGACCCAUGGCCUCCUCAAGCAAUGCAACUUUAAAAUGAGAGGACACUGCCCUACAUUGCAUGAGGCAGGUUAUGGAAUUACACCAGUUUAGGCUGGAAUACUAUCUUCAUAUUCCUUAUUAGGGGACCCAAGCAAAGGACAUAACUCUGAGCUUUUUCCUAUAAAACAAGGAAAUAUCAUAUUGCUCCAAAGGCUAUAAUGAGGGUUAAAUGAAUUAAAAGUAGAGCACUUAACACAGUAUACUUUGCGAGCAGUAAAGGCUCAUUGAGCAACAGCUGUUAUUGUUGUUCUCUGCAAAGGCACAACAUAAAGGCAUCUUCGUCAAGAUUGUGAGAAUGUGAAAGGACAACCCUUCAUCACCCUCCAUAUCCUCCAAUGAGGAGCCAGUUGCUGAUUCAUCCCACAGGUCCCACUGACUGCUGUGCCCUCAGUGACUGCUGUACUUGAGAAGAAGAUACCAGCCAUUUAAAGAUGGGUAUUUAAAGAACGUUUUCUCCUACUCUCCAUUUCCUUGUUUGAGGCUUUAAUAAUGUCUAGAUUCCUAGAAUCCUGGCAGGUAAGAUAAAUUAGUAAGCAGUAUUCUGGUUUAUAAUUGUGUGUAGGAUAACAAUUUGCUACCCCAAGGGAAACUCUUUAAUUAUGGAUCUCUAUAUGGGAGCUAUUGCUUCAAGCCGGCUCCUUGUGGUUAAUAGUCUUGCAGGAUGGUUAAGCCAACAGUUUGACUGGUUUCUGAUGUUAAUUAGCUAAUUAGCUUGUUAAUUCAUUUAACAAAUAUUGACGAGUGUUUUCUAUAAACCAUGCACUGUUCUAGGUACCAGUCAUAGCACGUUCUAUAAAGAAAAACAAUGCAGAGGAUGGAGACAAACAGUGAUGGAGGGGGCAACGGCGUGUGCCAUUUCAAAUAAAGUGUCUUUUGAAAAGUAU
rnacentral:lncRNA from 9 species